GGGUGUGUAGGAUAUGGAUGGUCUCUUUCUCUCUCCUAACCCUUUUGGGAUAUUGUUUCGACAAUUCUACUAUUUUUUAUUUUCUACUUGUACUUACUGACAAUAUAUUACUUUAUCGUUUUCAUUUAUAUGAAAGAUUUAAUAUAAAGUGUUCUUUUUCCACUUAUUUCCUUAUUAUUUCAUUGUUAUCAAAGUUCAUUAUAAUGGGUG
rnacentral:lncRNA from 1 species